CAACAGAUCCUGAGCUCUACAGUGAUGGACGAGUAGUACUGCAUUGUCAACUUGGAUCCAAAUGGUAUUUUGAGGAGUAAUCUCCCCUGUUCAAAAUUUGAACUAUGGUGGAUAUACAUCUGCAAGACCAACAGCAGAGAGUUUGAACACCUGUAUACCAGUAUUUCUACCAAUCACCUCUGUAACCUUUGCUGUGUUCAUCAGACAGAUGAAGAUAUCUAUUAUGCCCUUCACAACGAAGGCUCCAACAGAUUCACAAUAUGAAAGCUCAGAUGUACCCAAUAUUCAACCUCUAACUGCCGGGAUAUCCAAUAGAAUCCCCGCUGCUACACAAGGACCAAUAGACUGCAGAGUGGUACACAGCAGUGAAGUUUACCUGCACAUCUGCUGUUUUUGGAGUGUACAUGAAAACUUGCUUGUAGAGAUUUUUACACUCCUAGGUUGUGACCAGCCUGCAGACUUUCCACUUUCCAUUUGUGGUAAUUCUAGCUGGACAGUGCUUUAAUCUGAUUGGUUAAACAUUCAAGUGAUGGAUGUGACAUUUCAUUGGUGAUUCUAGCUGGAGAGUGCUUUAAUCUGAUUGGAUAAACAUUCAAGUGAUGGAUGUGACAUAACAGUGGUGAUUCUAGCUGGAGAGUGCUUUAAUCUGAUUGGAUAAACAUUCAAGUGAUGGAUGUGACAUUUCACUGGUGAUUCUAGCUGGACAGUGCUUUAAUCUGAUUGGAUAAACAUUCAAGUGAUGGAUGUGACAUAACUGGUGAUUCUAGCUGGACAGUGCUUUAAUCUGAUUGGUUAAACAUUCAAGUGAUGGAUGUGAUAUUUCAUUGGUGAUUCUAGCUGGACAAUGCUUUAAUCUGAUUGGAUAAACAUUCAAGUGAUGGAUGUGACAUAACUGGUGAUUCUAGCUGGACAGUGCUUUAAUCUGAUUGGUUAAACAUUCAAGUGAUGGAUGUGACAUUUCAUUGGUGAACGAUGAUGGAGGAGUGUUGGUAACAUGGUUCGAGUAAUUUAUUUAUGUACAAAUAAACUGUGUUUACUGGGUGUGAAAU